UCGGGAAUUUUGGGCAAUGGGCGAAAGCCUGACCCAGCAACGCCGCGUGAAGGAUGAAAUCCUUCGGGAUGUAAACUUCGCAAGAACGGGAAGAAUAAGUAAGGGUUAAUAUCUCUUACGAUGACGGUACUGUUUGUAAGCUCCGGCUAACUCCGUGCCAGCAGCCGCGGUAAUACGGGGGGAGCAAGCGUUGUUCGGAUUUACUGGGCGUAAAGGGCGCGUAGGCGGCCACCGCAAGUCGACUGUGAAAUCUCCGGGCUUAACCCGGAAAGGUCAGCCGAUACUGCGGGGCUAGAGUGCAGAAGGGGCAACUGGAAUUCUCGGUGUAGCGGUGAAAUGCGUAGAGAUCGGGAGGAACAUCAGUGGCGAAGGCGGCCAUCUGGGACAACACUGACGCUGAAGCACGAAAGCGUGGGGAGCAAAC
rnacentral:rRNA from 1 species